AGAGUGCCCCGGCGUCUUUCUAGCCUCCGCCUCCAGGCGGGUGAGGAGGUGACACCUGAGAAUUCCUCCCUCUCACCCCUGACCCUGCCGGAAAGCGAAACUGAGAUGCGGGCAUUGGGCCCUGGGAAGCGUGGGGAAGGGGAAAGGAGAAAGCCAGGUUAACUACGUCAGGAUUAAUGUGUUCCACUUCUGCUGCCUGAGAUCAAGUCUUUGUUGUCUUGCUGAGUUUUGUCUGUUUCAUGGAACACAACAAUACACUCUACAGGAAGAACUUUAACUAAAAAGCCCUUAUAUUUCGAUUCCAGAAAAUGGAGAAAUUAAGUCCUUUCCAUGGAUCAUUCCUUCUGUAAACAGAGAUCACAAAGCAAGAGCUUCAGCAUCCUCGUGAAAAAGACAUUUUGUUCUGGGUGUCAUCAUCUCCUUCCACUACAGCUUGCAAUUGGAACAAGCUUCACAUCCUGGGGGUGCUGCCUAUCUCUGUCUUGAUUUCUGUCUGUCUAUUCCUCCCAUUGACAGGAAUGUCGUUUGUAUCCUCCACGCAGCAGUUUGCAGAAAUCCAGCAAGGUUUAUGGUUUAUGUUGCCCAGCAUGUAUAAACACAACGCUCUCAAAUGCUUUUUAAAAAUCUAUGAAUUUGUUAGAUGUCUUCACAUCCUGGUCCUCCUACCCCAAUUCUCAAACACAAAGUACUCUGUUGCCCUAUUAUAGUCCUGCGAUAGUUCUGGCUAGGAUUAGGUUGACGGUCUAAGCCCCAAGAAAGGCCUGGCAUUUUCAUAGCAGGCUUUCCCCAGUGCUUUGAGUCUUCCUCUCUCACUCCCUUUUUCUUUUUCCCUCGGAGGAGGGGGUGUUGGGGGUGGGAGGUGAUUAGUAAAUGUUUCAGGUAAUCUGUGAAUUCUUAAUAGUCAUAUUUCCGUGGUGGAAGAUCUCCCUAUUUCUCUGAUGUGACAGGUUACAGAAACCUUGGUGUUGGGGGUUUUACAGAUAUUUACAAGUUCUAGGAGUUUGAACUUUGGGUCAAGAUGUUGAUUCCUUUUAAUGUGCGAGGGUGAAGGAGGUUUUAUUUUGCUUUAUUCUUUUGGAUAUUAUGAGAUGAGAUUGUAUCCAGUCUUGGCUGUAACCUAUACCAUAAAUGCAGAGCUGCAACCAUUAUUUCUGUCUCUUUCUCCUUUUAUCACCUACACUUCUAGAGAUAUUACUUUCAGUUUUAUUGCAAAUCAUCUGUGUCUUUAGUUUAAACCAUUAUUUUUCAUAUACCCCAGGCACAUUUCCCUUAUAAUGAGACAAAUUUUAGAUUAUUAAUGUUCCACCUAAAAGGAUACUGUACACUUUUCAUUGCCAAUAUGGGCUUUGAAGCUUAAAUAUCAACAUUUUUAUAGGAAAUUUACCCAUGUCAAAUUUAAAUAUAUUUGCUUAUAUUUCUUGGAAAAAAGAUUUUGGAUAACUAUCAAUUAAGCAGCCAAUUCCAUUUGGGGUGCAGAAAAUUUUGAGCCCCUUGAUAAGAAGGAACAAAAUUUUUCCUCUAAAUAACCAACUCUGGAUCAGAAAAACUGAACUUUUCUAAAUAUUUAUUAUUAACAAAACUUUUUUUUGUCUGAUUCCACUAGAAGCAUUCUAUGUUGUGAACACUAUAAAGUUAUCCUAUGUUGUGAACACCAUAAAGUUAUGAGGGAAAAAAUGUCAAAUCUAAAUUUUAUUUAGAAGUAACAUAUUGUUUUUCUGGACUUGCAAUCCAAUUCGAAUGCAUCGUUAGACUUUUCUGUUUUCUUAUGAUUAAACAACAAUGGCUUAAAAUGAUAGCAAGUCAACUGAAAAGUUGC
rnacentral:lncRNA from 1 species